UACGGAGGGUGCGAGCGUUGUCCGGAAUCAUUGGGCGUAAAGGGCGCGUAGGUGGCCCGGCAAGCGUGCGGUGAAAGUCGGGGGCUCAACCCCCGAUCGGCCGUGCGAACUGCGGGGCUGGAGCACUGUAGAGGCAGGCGGAAUUCCGGGUGUAGCGGUGGAAUGCGUAGAGAUCCGGAAGAACACCGGUGGCGAAGGCGGCCUGCUGGGCAGUUUUGCUGACACUGAGGCGCGACAGCGUGGGGAGCAAACAGGAUUGAGAUACCGUGUAGUCACA
rnacentral:rRNA from 1 species